rnacentral:misc_RNA from 1 species
AACAUCGCGCACCUGCGGGAACCUGCGGAGGGAUCAUUAACACUGCAUCUAAACCAAAACCCUUGCUCGGCGGCACUCGGUGCUGCCGGCAGGGGACCCAAGCACCAUUGUGAAAUCGUUAAAGUCGAGCCCGGCCUGCGUGCGCCGCACUUCGGUGCGUGUGUCGCUCGCUCGGGCUCCUUGCUGUCGACGUGUGUGUGCCGCGCGGGCUGCCCUCGCGGCGGCUCCGCGCCACCACCG